GAGUUUGAUCCUGGCUCAGGAUGAACGCUGGCGGCGUGCCUAAUACAUGCAAGUAGAACGCUGAAGCUUGGUGCUUGCACCGAGCGGAUGAGUUGCGAACGGGUGAGUAACGCGUAGGUAACCUGCCUCUUAGCGGGGGAUAACUAUUGGAAACGAUAGCUAAUACCGCAUAAAAGUCGAUAUCGCAUGAUAUUGAUUUGAAAGGUGCAAUUGCAUCACUAAGAGAUGGACCUGCGUUGUAUUAGCUAGUUGGUGAGGUAACGGCUCACCAAGGCGACGAUACAUAGCCGACCUGAGAGGGUGAUCGGCCACACUGGGACUGAGACACGGCCCAGACUCCUACGGGAGGCAGCAGUAGGGAAUCUUCGGCAAUGGGGGCAACCCUGACCGAGCAACGCCGCGUGAGUGAAGAAGGUUUUCGGAUCGUAAAGCUCUGUUGUAAGAGAAGAACGAGUGUGAGAGUGGAAAGUUCACACUGUGACGGUAACUUACCAGAAAGGGACGGCUAACUACGUGCCAGCCGCCGCGGUAAUUC
rnacentral:rRNA from 1 species